rnacentral:rRNA from 1 species
GAUGAACGCUGGCGGCGUGCUUAACACAUGCAAGUCGAACGGACCCAUUCUUCGGAUUGGGUUAGUGGCAGACGGGUGCGUAACACGUAGGUGAUCUGCCUCGGAGUGGGGAACAACUCCGCUAACGCGGAGCUAAUACCGCAUAUACUCGACGGUUCAGUCUGUCGAGCAAAGCCGAAAGGCGCUUCGAGAUGAGCCUGCGGCGGAUUAGGUAGUUGGUGGGGUAAUGGCCUACCAAGCCGAUGAUCCGUAGGGGGCGUGAGAGCGUGGCCCCCCA